rnacentral:pre_miRNA from 1 species
UGCUCAUAAUUAUCUAAAAAAUUUUCCAUUUCAUCUGAAAUGUUCCAUUCUUGGUCUCAUACCAAAGGUGAAUAUUUUGGAAAGUUUGAGA